GCCGGAGUGGUGGAAUGGUAGACACGCUUGACUCAAAAUCAAGUGCACUCCCGUGCGUGUCGGUUCGAGUCCGACCUCCGGCA
rnacentral:tRNA from 1 species